UUCCUGGCUCAGGAUGAACGCUGGCGGCGUGCUUAAUACAUGCAAGUCGAACGAAGCACUUUACCUGAUUUCCUUCGGGGAUGAUUGUUCUGUGACUGAGUGGCGGACGGGUGAGUAACGCGUGGAUAACCUGCCUCACACAGGGGGAUAACAGUUGGAAACGGCUGCUAAUACCGCAUAAGCGCACGGUACCGCAUGGUACAGUGUGAAAAACUCCGGUGGUGUGAGAUGGAUCCGCGUCUGAUUAGCUUGUUGGCGGGGUAACGGCCCACCAAGGCGACGAUCAGUAGCCGGCCUGAGAGGGCGACCGGCCACAUUGGGACUGAGACACGGCCCAGACUCCUACGGGAGGCAGCAGUGGGGAAUAUUGCACAAUGGGGGAAACCCUGAUGCAGCGACGCCGCGUGAGCGAUGAAGUAUUUCGGUAUGUAAAGCUCUAUCAGCAGGGAAGAUAAUGACGGUACCUGACUAAGAAGCUCCGGCUAAAUACGUG
rnacentral:rRNA from 1 species